GACGAACGCUGGCGGCGUGCCUAAUACAUGCAAGUCGAACGCUUUUUCUUUCACCGGAGCUUGCUCCACCGAAAGAAAAAGAGUGGCGAACGGGUGAGUAACACGUGGGUAACCUGCCCAUCAGAAGGGGAUAACACUUGGAAACAGGUGCUAAUACCGUAUAACACUAUUUUCAGCAUGGAAGAAAGCUGAAAGGCGCUUUUGCGUCACUGAUGGAUGGACCCGGGGUGCAUUAGCUAGUUGGUGAGGUAACGGCUCACCAAGGCAACGAUGCAUAGCCGACCUGAGAGGGUGAUCGGCCACACUGGGACUGAGACACGGCCCAGACUCCUACGGGAGGUAGCAGUAGGGAAUCUUCGGCAAUGGACGAAAGUCUGACCGAGCAACGCCGCGUGAGUGAAGAAGGUUUUCGGAUCGUAAAACUCUGUUGUUAGAGAAGAACAAGGAUGAGAGUAAAACGUUCAUCCCUUGACGGUAUCUAACCAGAGAGCCACGGCUAACUACGUGCCAGCCGCCGCUGUAA
rnacentral:rRNA from 1 species